GUGUCCUCCCAAACAACAAAUGCCAUCUGUGUGCCCCAGGUGUUGUCAGCUGCUGCCUGGAUGAGCCCUUCUGGCUGGAGGGCUCUGAGGUGUUCCACUUGGGAAGGCUCAGUAACCCUCAGCCCCAUCCUGACCAGGACCUGUCUUCACUGCUUCCUCUCUCAGGUGAUGGAGAACUGUUUGAAUCCUAUUGCUCUACCCACCCUGAAAUUGAACUUUCGCAGGCCAGGCCCACCUCGCACAUGGUGGAUUCCAAGCCUCUGUCCAGCUUGCGGUCAGCUCCAAGAAGCCAGCUGCCACCCCACCUGCCAAGGGUGACACUUGCCAGCACUGAGACCAUCCCAACAUCUGGCCGUGCUCACUAUGAGCACUGGCUCCAGCUCCAAGUAAGUGACUGUGCCACUCACUGGGUGUCAAGGUGAGCAGGAAAGGGCUGGGGGCCAGGCUGGGACGGAGGAUGGAGGGGGACGCCCCCUGAGGGAUCCUGUCCCGUGUACUCUGGGUAAGCAGCUAAGCAGCACAGGAAGAAGGGGCCUCCCGCCUGGGAGAAACCAGCAGCUGACUGUCUACCUUGUUAACUGGAGCACAAUUAAGGCAGUUAAGAGUCGGAAGGCGCCUCAUGUUUAUUCAUGUAGCUUUGACAUACUAUCUUUCUGUGUGGGUUACAGUCCCUGGGGUGCUUCGUGUGGCCACUCCCUCCCCCUUCAACUUUCUCUGCUCCACGCAGUGCCCCGGCACUCAUCCUGCGCCUUCUCCCUCAUCGACUCGUUUGCAGAUCCGAAGUGAACAUCUGUAUAACGUCUUACAGUUUACAAAGCGCUUUUCACAUUCGCUGCUUUGGGUACGUCUCACAGCAGCCCUGGAUGGUUUCUAGGAUCAUCGUCCCUGUUUACAGCUGCUCUGGGCCCCACAGCCCCCAGAGAAAGGGGAGGCAGCCUGCGGGAGCAGCCCUGGGUGUGAGAAGGAGGAUGGAGACGUCUGCACCGCUCCGCUCCGCAUCUGCUCACUGGGGAAGGCCAGUUUUGCUGACCCAGGCACAGAUUAGACGGCAACUGAGAAAUUCUUCCUCAUGCCAUCCAUCAGUGGGCCGCCUCCAGCAGCCUCCGUGGGGUCAGGAAAUUUGUCUUGACUGCUCUGCUCUGCCACUUUAUCUGGGCUCCUGUGGCUUGAGUCAUGCUAGAGACCCCAAAACCAGCAGAAGAAAUCCAGCCCAAUGAUCAUCCACAGAGCUCGGACCUUCUGAACGGCACCCACCCGCUCCUCCCCACCCUGGGCUGCACAGACUCCCCGAAGGAGGGGACGCAGCCCCCAUGGCCUGCAGGAACGAGGGCUUUUGUUACCUGGCACUGGCUGGGAAAGAAGCAUCCCUUGGAGACUCUGCCCAGGUAUCUGGAUCACUGGGAUUUCUCCAGCCUGCCUUGACAAGAGGGCACUGGCUCAAAGCACAGUAUUACUGAAGGGGUUGGAAAACUUUGUCUACAGAGGGCCAGGUAGUAGAUAUUUUAGGCUUACAGCCCAUAAAGCCUUUGUCACAACCACUCAGCUUUGCCAUUGUAGUGCAAAGGUAGCCAUAGACAAUACGUAAAUUCAUGGGCAUAGCCAAGUAUCAAUAGAACUUUGUUUUUAAAAACCUAGUAAAUGGACCAUGAGCUUAAUGCUAAUGCUCCAAACACUUGGGAAUUUGGAGACCCUCUACUGCCUUAAUAACAUUUGUCAAUUAAUAAUGGUAACAAUAAGUUUUACAGUGCAAAACCAUAAACUAAGCAAUGGGGUCACUGGAGUUUACCCUAAAUUCUAAUAUGAUGAGUCUAUAAACGGUAUCACCAAGUCUCAGAAACCAAGGGAUCAGCUCUUUCAUGGAUCUAGGGCUAUUAGUUCUCACAAUAUCCUUAAUCAGUGUUGGACAGAACUGUGCAGGAGUUUAAAACGUAGGCUCUAAGGUCAUAUUAUUUGGGUUCAAUCCUUACUCUACUACUUAUUAGACAUACAACCCUAACAUCCCUUGACUUAGUUUCCUACUCUGUAAAAUGGGGGCAAUAACAGUUUAUACCACAGGGUUGGUAUGAAACUGAAUGAGUCAUUACAGGUAAGUUAUUUGGACAAGUGCUUGGCACCUGGUCAGUCUUUACAUCUAACUGUUGCCAGAUCUUAGUCAACCUUCACUAAACACUGACCAGGGGACUGGAUGAUCUUGGGUGACAAAAGAGGCUGAGGUAUGAGGACACUUGGUUCCUACCAGAUGUGCAACAGGUGACCAUUCCCACCUGGGCACCUUGGCAUCGGACAUUUGGGAUUUCUCUUUUGUCUUUGCAUAUUGUGAUUAGAAUAGGCUGGACUAAUUAUAGCAAAGAGUAGAAGAAAGAGAAAGGACAAGGAAAAUACAUUUACUGAGUUGCCACAAUGGCUGGGCAGUGCUAGGUACUUUACAUACUUUAAUUCAUAAAAUCUACACAACCACCCUGCAACGUAGGCAUUAUUAUCCUCAUUUUAUAGAUAAAGAAAUUAAGUCUCAGAAAGGUUAUAUGACAUGUUCAAGGUCACCGAGACUGCCUAAUUGCAAGUUCAUUCUUUCAUUAAAUAUUUAUUUUUCACCAGGUGUGUGUCAGCCAAUAACUAUCCUAUGUGUUUGGGAAACAGAAAAAGAAAAUCAGUUUAUAGUCUAGAUGGGAAAGAUGAGAAUUUACAUCAAUCAUCAAGGUGGGGCUGCAAAGGAAGGUUUGGGGAAAAGGACGCCUUCACCAACGAGGAGACACUUAACCUGAGACUUGAAGGAUGAACGGAAGUCUCCUGGGAGGAUAAAGGAGAAAAGGUAUUCCAAGAGGUAACAUCACAUGCAAACACGCAGAGGCAUUAAAUAACAUUGUGCUUUCAAAAAUAGUCAUUCAUCUGCUCGGGCAGGGUUGCAAGGGCGAGCAGAGGGCAAUGUGGCCGGAAAGGCAGGUCACAGAGGACUCAGGGAGGCCCUCGUGCUCAUGGUGAAGUUUCAACUUGCUCCUGCGUGUGAUGGGGAGACAUUUAAAGGGUUUUAAGGCCAGGCGCGGUGGCUCACGCCUGCAAUCCUAGCACUCUGGGAGGCCGAAGCAGGAGGAUCGCUUGA